rnacentral:rRNA from 1 species
CACGUAGGGCGCGAGCGUUGUCCGGAAUUAUUGGGCGUAAAGAGCUCGUAGGCGGCCUGUUGCGUCCGCUGUGAAAGCCCGGGGCUUAACCCCGGGUCGCAGCGGAUACGGGCAGGCUAGAGGUAGGUAGGGGAGAAUGGAAUUCCCGGUGUAGCGGUGAAAUGCGCAGAUAUCAGGAGGAACACCGGUGGCGAAGGCGGGUCUCUGGGUCGAUACUGACGCUGAGGAGCGAAAGCAUGGGGUAGCGAAACAGG